GAAUGCUGACAUAAGUAACGAUAAAGCGGGUGAAAAGCCCGCUCGCCGGAAGACCAAGGGUUCCUGUCCAACGUUAAUCGGGGCAGGGUGAGUCGACCCCUAAGGCGAGGCCGAAAGGCGUAGUCGAUGGGAAACGGGUUAAUAUUCCCGUACUUGGUGUUACUGCGAAGGGGGGACGGAGAAGGCUAUGUUGGCCGGGCGACGGUUGUCCCGGUUUAAGCGUGUAGGUGUGUGUUCCAGGUAAAUCCGGUUCACUUUAACACUGAGGCGUGACGACGAGGCACUACGGUGCUGAAGCAACAAAUGCCCUGCUUCCAGGAAAAGCCUCUAAGCAUCAGGUAACAUCAAAUCGUACCCCAAACCGACACAGGUGGUCAGGUAGAGAAUACCAAGGCGCUUGAGAGAACUCGGGUGAAGGAACUAGGCAAAAUGGUGCCGUAACUUCGGGAGAAGGCACGCUGACACGUAGGUGAAGUGAUUUACUCAUGGAGCUGAAGUCAGUCGAAGAUACCAGCUGGCUGCAACUGUUUAUUAAAAACACAGCACUGUGCAAACACGAAAGUGGACGUAUACGGUGUGACGCCUGCCCGGUGCCGGAAGGUUAAUUGAUGGGGUCAGCGCAAGCGAAGCUCCUGAUCGAAGCCCCGGUAAACGGCGGCCGUAACUAUAACGGUCCUAAGGUAGCGAAAUUCCUUGUCGGGUAAGUUCCGACCUGCACGAAUGGCGUAAUGAUGGCCAGGCUGUCUCCACCCGAGACUCAGUGAAAUUGAACUCGCUGUGAAGAUGCAGUGUACCCGCGGCAAGACGGAAAGACCCCGUGAACCUUUACUAUAGCUUGACACUGAACAUUGAGCCUUGAUGUGUAGGAUAGGUGGGAGGCUUUGAAGUGUGGACGCCAGUCUGCAUGGAGCCGACCUUGAAAUACCACCCUUUAAUGUUUGAUGUUCUAACGUGGACCCGUUACCCGGGUUGCGGACAGUGUCUGGUGGGUAGUUUGACUGGGGCGGUCUCCUCCUAAAGAGUAACGGAGGAGCACGAAGGUUGGCUAAUCCUGGUCGGACAUCAGGAGGUUAGUGCAAUGGCAUAAGCCAGCUUGACUGCGAGCGUGACGGCGCGAGCAGGUGCGAAAGCAGGUCAUAGUGAUCCGGUGGUUCUGAAUGGAAGGGCCAUCGCUCAACGGAUAAAAGGUACUCCGGGGAUAACAGGCUGAUACCGCCCAAGAGUUCAUAUCGACGGCGGUGUUUGGCACCUCGAUGUCGGCUCAUCACAUCCUGGGGCUGAAGUAGGUCCCAAGGGUAUGGCUGUUCGCCAUUUAAAGUGGUACGCGAGCUGGGUUUAGAACGUCGUGAGACAGUUCGGUCCCUAUCUGCCGUGGGCGCUGGAGAACUGAGGGGGGCUGCUCCUAGUACGAGAGGACCGGAGUGGACGCAUCACUGGUGUUCGGGUUGUCAUGCCAAUGGCACUGCCCGGUAGCUAAAUGCGGAAGAGAUAAGUGCUGAAAGCAUCUAAGCACGAAACUUGCCCCGAGAUGAGUUCUCCCUGAGACUUA
rnacentral:rRNA from 2 species